UUGGAAAGGACAGUUGUGAAUGGCAGUUAGGCAGAAGUGAAAUGCUGAGGUGGUAUCCCAAGGCAGGAGGGAGAAUUGUUUCAGAAUGGUCUUUUUUUCAUUAAAAACAAACAAAAACUUCCCACCAGCUAAACCUCUUCCCUAAUUCCCCACAUCAACUCUUUCUAGUAGAGAUGAGUUACAGAAGUCACAGAUCAUUCCUGCACAAGGACAAUAGAGCAUCCUCAAGAUCAGCCCUCAAAGAGGUGAAUAUCUCUCUAGGGGAUUCCUUUCUUCUCUUGGAUCUUCAAGCAAAGUCUGGGUGACUACUUUAUAGAACAUGAAGCAAUGAAGAUUCCUGUUACAGAUUUCAAAGUUCCUUUCAACUGUGAAACUAUUCUGAAUAGACAGAGACUCCAGGAGGAUAGCUAGAACCCAAUGUUAACGUAAUGUAAUGACAAAUAGAAUGCUCUAUACAAUACUAUGUAACAUAAUAGUAACAAUAAUAAAUGGCAUUUACCAUA